rnacentral:lncRNA from 15 species
CCUCCACACUUCCCAUGACCACGUUGGGAGCGACCACCACUGCGCCGAUCACCAUCCCCGGCACGACCCAGACUACAGACUGUGAGGAAGGACAACAGGACUGUGGCGGCGAGACCGAAGCACCCGAUGACUACGACACAGGGACAGGAGUCGCCACAACGCUCAACCCCAUCAUGGAAAUCCUACCAGGUGAGGCUGUCCACCACAAUCUGCUUCCAUGUUUACUCUUCUCAUCUUUCAUUUGUUCCUCUUCUUCUCCUCCUCUGAUCUACUCACAUUUUUCUGUCUUUAUCUGUUAUAUUUUCUCAUUUUUUCGUCAUCCUCUCUUUCUCUCUUCUCUAAACUGCAGUAACUUUAAACUGGAGGUUUUACAAAUAAAUCAGCCAGCACAGGGUUGCCACAUCAGUGUAUUAAUUCAACCAAUAGUCCCAUCAUUCAGUGUCACCAACAGUACUGACCGCAGUCACAGAGAACAAUGAAACUGACUUCUAUGGGAUUAAAUGGCUUUUUCAUUGCCCCAGUUCACAAAUGAGCCCAAUACUGCUUAGUGACUUGACAGCAGAGAGAAAUGUUGAUAAAUUUGCCCUGAAAAAUACAUCUGCAUGGUUUUUGAUCAUGUUUUUUCAUCGCUCAUGCCAUUAAAUCAAAUUGAAUUGAAUUGCAAAGGGAUGAAUAAGAAAAGAAAGAUACAGAUAUGCUGAGAGAAAGACAGAAACCACACACACACACACACACACACACACACACACACACACAAGAGUCAGCUGAUGAUGCUGCAACAUUGCAACAACUGAAUGAAAAUGACUUUACAAAUCAAGGAAAAGACAAAACGGAGAGGUGGUGGGUGGAGAGAAACUAAGCCAUCUGAGGAGAAGUGAAGGAGCUUUGAAAGUCAGCAUCUCCCAGGAGAAGAGAGGCAAGGAUCAUCAGUGAGCAUCCAGCAUGAAGGAAUAUUUUUUCUUCCAACAGAACUGACUCUCAUACCCACCCUGUACAUAUGCAUUACAUUAAUGCACUUCCGUCUUCCGUACAGUUUUCCUAUCUUUUCUUAUCUUUUUAAUCUUUAUUUAUCUAUAUAUUUUUUUUAAAGUACUUUAUUCUUGUGUGAUUUUUGUGUCAUUGUAUAUUUUAAGCACCAUUGCACCAAGACAAAUUCCUUGUAUGUGUAAAAACCUACCUGGCAAUAAAUCUCAUUCUGAUUCUGAUUCUGAUUCUAAACCCUG